rnacentral:rRNA from 1 species
GCCUCCCUCUUUCUUCGCGCCUAACACAUGCAAGUCGAACGAGCGAGAGAGAGCUUGCUUUCUUGAGCGAGUGGCGAACGGGUGAGUAACGCGUGAGGAACCUGCCUCAAAGAGGGGGACAACAGUUGGAAACGACUGCUAAUACCGCAUAAGCCCACGACCCGGCAUCGGGUUGAGGGAAAAGGAGCAAUCCGCUUUGAGAUGGCCUCGCGUCCGAUUAGCUAGUUGGUGAGGUAACGGCCCACCAAGGCGACGAUCGGUAGCCGGACUGAGAGGUUGAACGGCCACAUUGGGACUGAGACACGGCCCAGACUCCUACGGGAGGCAGCAGUGGGGAAUAUUGCACAAUGGGGGAAACCCUGAUGCAGCGACGCCGCGUGGAGGAAGAAGGUCUUCGGAUUGUAAACUCCUGUUGUUGAGGAAGAUAAUGACGGUACUCAACAAGGAAGUGACGGCUAACUACGUG